UACCUGCAAUAUUAGUUGGACAAUUCCCAUGAGCCAACCUCCAAUACCUUAGUCGUUUGACUUUGUCGGUGCUUUGGGGUCUGUAGGGUGUGUGAUAGGCUAAGUGUGACCCUACCAUCUUCCAGACUUCUUGGGUUAAUCUAGCAGUGAAUGCUGGGCCCUGAUCACUUUCAAUGAUCUCAGGUACUCCGAACCUACAAACAGUUUCCUGCAUUAAAUUCUUAGCAGUUGUUGUGGCUGUCUGAUUUCGGACGGGGUAGGCUUCUGGCCACCCAGAGAACAAGUCUACCACUACUAGCACAUAUUGAAACCCUUGGCACAUUGGCAUCUGGAUGUGGUCAAUUUGAAUCCGUUGUAACGGGUACUGGGCUUUGGGGAGACAUUUGGUUGGUGUAGGCUCAGUUCUUCCCGGGUUGCACUGCGCACAGAUGAGGCAAGACUGAGUAUGCCUCACCAGAACAGGGGUUAUUCCUGGGACCACCUAUAUUUUGUCUAUUAGUUCUUUCAUGAUGGUCUUAGAUUGGUGGGUGGGCCCAUGAGCUAUUGAAACUAUCAGAGGAUAGAGAGCUUUGGGCAGACAUACUCUCUUUCCUUGGGUCCACAGUCCAGAUUCUUUCUCUUCUUGGGCUGACUCUUUUAGCCAAUCCAAUUUUUCUUGUGGCAUGGCCUGCUUCUGUAACUGGACUAGCAGGU